UGGUGUGAGGUAGAAAUGAGAAAUAAUUUCUUUAGGCUAAAGAGAAGUAUUAAAUAUUUGGUGAAAAUGAGAUUAUUGCCACCAGCUAUAUAUUUAAUAUUCUGGAUGUCCUAUGUGGAAUCCCAGGUGCCAGUGAUGACUCCAUCUGUUCUUUAUGUUAACCAAGGACAAACUGGUACUUAUAAUUGUAACGUGGGAGUUAAAGACAAUCACGUUACACGUUUUCUUCGUCAAACACCUGGAAAAGCUCCCCAGCUCAUUUUUUAUCAUCAUCAUACAUACACAGAACCUAAAUAUGGACCAGGAAUGUCAUCCGCUCAUUUUGGUUCCACUAUAAAUGGUGCAGGCACAGAAUAUCAACUGACUGUAAAAAAUGCAGGCACUCAGGAUACUGAUACUUAUUAUUGUGUUAAAUGGUAUGACAACAUUGGAUGCCACAGUGAUAUACAGCUGGACAAAAACCACUGAAGGGAUUCUUCUUGCUAAAAUGUGCAAUAAAGUAAAUAGCAUUUUUCUGAGAAAUUCAAACUAUGUCAGUUACAUAUAAAUAGCGUUAGUGGAAGUAAUCAUAUUGUACACAAUAAUUCCCAAGUAACAGUCCCUGCCCAGAGGCUAUUUAAUGUACUUUCAGUUGCCAUUGUGCUGUCAAAGUUUAAAUUAAUAUUUUGUAUCUUUAUAGGGGGAGUUCACCUUUUUUAGUAUGUCAUAAUUUUUAAUUUCAAGCACCCUUUCAAUUGGUCUUCAUUUAUUAUUUUUUUUAUAGUUUUUU